AAAAUUAAAUAAAAGCAAACACAAACAGAACCCAGUACCCUUCGCCAUCUCUUCUUUCUCUGCAAACGCCUUCUCUCACUACGAACCAAGAAAUCCUUCACUGGGAAACCCCUCGAAUCCUUCUCUUCACUGAAAACCCAAAAAUCCUUCGUCACUGGAAACCCUAACUUCAUAUUACAUGCAAAAUUAACACAUGCACUAUGAGAUGGUUAAGUGGCAAUGUCUAGAGUUACUAUGAGGAAGUUUGAAAAAACAAAGUAAAGGUGAUUUUCUGCCUCCAAAUCAUUGCUACACAUAGUUUCCUUCUCCUUUGAUUUGCACCCAACUUUUCUCCGCCGCUGUAUUUCCCUUCUCACUGUAAGGGUUCGCCGUAUAAAGGCCUCCCCUGUCGUCGACAUUGAAAUUGGUGCCUUUGUUUUGUUUCUUCAACUUCACUUCGCCGUAUUUCACCUUUUCUAGGGUCCGCUAUAUCAAGAAUCUGGAUACAUGAGAAGGAUCAUACAGUAUGUUACUAAUGUGUCAAAAUCCUUGUUCCUAUAGAAUUUUCACCUCGUGACACUCCUACUGGACUUGAUGCUAGAGACCAAUAUGUUCUUCAACUUGGUAGGUUGAUUGAUGCUCUAUAACACUAACACAUUUCUAGGAGGAAGCUGAUCUACAACUAGCUGGUGAGCUUCAAAGAAGCAACACCAACAACCACUUUUCACUGGAAGUUCAAUUCCUUCUCCUACUCAAUUGAGCCUCUAACAUAAAUAUUCAAUUUGUUUGUGUAGAGUGAUGGUAUUAAUUAAUGAUUAUGGAAAACUGAAAUAUCUUGGGUUUGUGGACUCUCAUUUAUGUAUUACUGUGGAAUUCAUGUAAUUGUGCAUACCACUCUACCUACUUGGAUUUAAAGCAUAAUUGAAUGACCAUUCUUUGUACCAAACAUGAUGUAAAUUUAUCUCAUUGAACUAAGAUAAUAGUCAUUGGUCAAACAUAAAUUAGAUUUUCAUAGUUGUGCUUGAGGUGCUGUAUGAUUUGGAUUCCUUAGUCAGAGAGUUGGUCUGUCAUUGGUAGUUGAAAUACUCAGAAACCAGGACAUUUUCUUAUGAAGGGCUAAACUUGUCAUUCUCAAGCAUGGUUGAUCUAUUCAUGGGUUCCAAAUGUCAUUGAUGCCAAGAAGUAAGAAAUCAGAAAAUUCACCUUAAGCAUUAGUGAAAGAAGCAAUUGUUGAUGAGAGAUUUGAAGUAUCAUUUGAUUGUGGUAUUAUAUUGCUAUUGCAAGUUUUUAGUUUGAUAAUGAUUAAAAGUUUUGUAACAUUGUUUUCUUUUAAACAGGUUUUGUAACAUUGUUGAUAGUGGCAUGUGUUAAGAGACAAGGCUUGGUGAUAUUUCUUAUCUCUUUCACCUUGUCUUAGUGUUGUUUAUUACUUGUGAAUGUUAUAUUUUACUUUUGUUUAUGAGUAUAUAUAUGUACUAUGUAGUGUAAUUUGUAUUGAAAUUUUAGAUUUGUUCUUGUUGUGAUGCAUUAUAUAUAGUCAAUAAGUUAAUUUUUGAUUGUUUUACAUUCUAUUCACUAAACACUUCAUUCAGUGGUUAUAAUUACAAAAUCAAGCUUGAAUAUUUUUAUGAUCUU